AGAGUUUGAUCCUGGCUCAGAUUGAACGCUGGCGGCAGGCCUAACACAUGCAAGUCGAACGGUAACAGGAAGCAGCUUGCUGCUUCGCUGACGAGUGGCGGACGGGUGAGUAAUGUCUGGGAAGCUGCCUGAUGGAGGGGGAUAACUACUGGAAACGGUAGCUAAUACCGCAUAAUGUCGCAAGACCAAAGAGGGGGACCUUCGGGCCUCUUGCCAUCGGAUGUGCCCAGAUGGGAUUAGCUUGUUGGUGGGGUAACGGCUCACCAAGGCGACGAUCCCUAGCUGGUCUGAGAGGAUGACCAGCCACACUGGAACUGAGACACGGUCCAGACUCCUACGGGAGGCAGCAGUGGGGAAUAUUGCACAAUGGGCGCAAGCCUGAUGCAGCCAUGCCGCGUGUAUGAAGAAGGCCUUCGGGUUGUAAAGUACUUUCAGCGGGGAGGAAGGGAGUAAAGUUAAUACCUUUGCUCAUUGACGUUACCCGCAGAAGAAGCACCGGCUAACUCCGUGCCAGCAGCCGCGGUAAU
rnacentral:rRNA from 1 species